GGAGUGAUAGCUCAGUGGUUAAGAGCACUGGAUACACUUCUAGAGUACCCAGGUUCAAAUCCUGGCACCUACA
rnacentral:tRNA from 1 species